rnacentral:rRNA from 1 species
ACGAAGGGGCCAAGCGUUGUUCGGAAUUAUUGGGCUUAAAGCGCAUGCAGGCGGGAAGUUAAGUGUUCUGUGAAAUCCCUCGGCUUAACCGAGGACUAGCGGGGCAAACUGGCUUUCUUGAGGCAAGUAGGGGUGUAUGGAACUCUAGGUGGAGCGGUGAAAUGCGUAGAUAUCUAGAGGAACGCCAGCGGAGAAAUCGGUACACUGGGCUUGUUCUGACGCUGAGGUGCGAAAGCGUGGGUAGCGAACGG